GAUAUGCAUAUCCUUUGUCCAAAACUCUUCAUAGUAAAACUUUUAGGGCUUUAAACUUGAGGAUGUAUCAUAUGGAACCCUUGACAAAAGUUUAUAUGGGUUAUCGAGAUGGUAUAUCUGCAGGAAAGGAAGCUUCUGCCCAAGAGGGCUUCAACAUUGGGUUUAAGCAAUCUGCAAGCAGUGGUUACAAAUGGGGAAUUGUUAGAGGCAUCACAAGUGCAUUUGUAAACCUCCCAGAUCAAUUCAAAGAAAAGUUAGUUAAGAAGCUUGAAGACAGAUGCACGUUUCAAAGUCUUUACAAGCCCGUUCAAGAGAUUUCCACGGACGAUGCUCUGAGAAUGUAUCACUUUCAACUACAACAAGAAAAUAAACAAUCUCAUCAAAGAUCAAAAGCGACAGUAUCAUCGGCAAUCGAAGAUUUUGACUGCAAUAAGUUAGACUUCUUUUUCAAGGAGCUUAUGUUACUUGUAAGUGAGUCUUCUGAAAUCAAAGCAAGUGUUGAUGUUGUAAAAGGAGAGGAAGAAGAAUGACCUUGAUGUUGAAGUACUUGGAGGGAUCGUUCAAAUUCACUUACGUCUGAAUUUUCUGGACAGAUUGUAAUUUUUUGAUGGCCUCAGAUUGCAAUGAAAAGAACUGAACCAUUGCUCCAUUGCAGCAUAAUAUAUUUUGAGAUUUUGCUUCAGAAAAA